UGUUUCUGAAGCAAUCACACCAUUUUUUCCAGUGCAGCACAAUACUGCAACAUAUUUGUAUUACUUUUAAAAAAAAUCAUUUUUUGAUGUUACUGUUGCUUUAAGUAGUGGCUUAGUAAAGUUAGUUAUCAGUAUUGUCUAUUUCAGGGGUCCCCAACCUUUUAUACCCAGGAGCAACACAAGGAUGAAAAUUGGACAUUUGGUAGCCCCUAUGUGGACAGUCAGCUUACAAGAGGCUUUGUUUAGCAAUACAUCUGGUUUUUAUGCAAAACAGAAAUUCAAAAAUAGGCACCUGCUUUGAGGAUACUCGGAGCAAUGUCCAAUGGGUGGGUGAGCAACAUGUUGCUCACGAGCCGCUGGUCUAUUUUGUAGCCAUGCCAGGUAGCUGCUACUAGUAGAUCUGUGUGUCUUUAUCCUAAGGUGUAUGGCCACCUUUAAUUACAGAAGCAGAUUUAUCAAUGAGAAAUAACCAGCAUGACCAAUUGGUAACUUUUAAUGUACAUGAAUCAUUUUUUCACAAUGAUCUUUCAUAAUUUCUUUUGAUAUUAUAAAGCAGUUUUGUAGUGUCCAUAUCACCUUAAAGGGCAUGUAAAUGUAAAAAUAAGAUUUUACCUUCCAAAAUUAAAUGUAAUUUUAAACAACUUUCCAAUAAAUAUUUAGUAGAUAAUUAAUGUAUAUUGGAUAGUUUUUUAAUAAGAAUUUUUAGUUUUUACAUUUAUUUGCAAAGGAAAUAUGUAGCUAUUAAAAUCAGUUUAGCUAAAAGCUGGCCCCUUAAGAAGCAUGUAAGGCACUGUAGGACUUAGUCUUGGCUGGGGUAGAGCUAAUCUCAGCUACAUUGUUUCAAUAGUCAGAACCAUCAGUGAGAGAAGAGAAUUGCAUGGACCAGAAAGAUCAUGCUUGAAAUUACAUAUAUCUUUAAAAUAAUUGAAAAUUCAUGUUAAAUAUGUACCAGAAAGUUGCAUAAAAUUAUUUUCUUAUCGUCCUUCAGGCAGCACACUUGAGAUAGAUCAUAUCCAAUCCCCUGGUAGGACAGAAAAUAUAUCACAACCAAUUAAAACAGCCUAUAUUAACCCCCUCCUCACAUCUCCCAGUAGUGUUUUUUUCUGUCCUUUCCAGUGUAGGAUGUAAAGGGACUUAAGGUCUGAAGAUCCAGACAGGUGGCUGUCUGAAGGCCGUGUGAAUAAUCACCUUAGGGUGGGUUAUUCUGAGGGACUGUUCCCUUUAGGCAUACCUGGCGAGGAAUAGAAGCGAUCCCUGUAUCUCCAGUGGGGAUAGAGUUGAUGCGCUGUGAUGGUGGAUUUGCCUCGCCAUGCUUCAGCGUGUUCUCGCAAGCGCAUUGCGUUUAGUGAGCGGCGCUUGGUGAUGACGUCAUCGGCGGCGCCAAGUUCAAAUCGGUUUGGUGAGUAUUGAAUUUAUGGAUUUAUGGAGGAAAUUGGCAGCGUUUUCAUCAGGUACAUAUACCUGCUGAUAGACCAGUGCUCACUGCUGCUUCCUGUUGUAGUUCCUGCAGAUCUGUGCUGUCAGGCUGCAAGCGUGUGUGAGGCUGCAUAAGGUACAAUAAUGCUAACCUGUUCAGCCGGUUUACAUGUGGAUUUUGACUUUUUUUCAUUAAAAGUACAUUAUCUCCCUUCUUUUUCCUCCAGAUGUCUAUUCCUACUGGAUCUGGGAAAAGAAGGAGAAAGUCAAAACAUGCUCUGUGUGCUCAAUGUGAGCAGCCAUUACCUGAGGAUUAUAGGCAUGCAAAAUGUGAUCUAUGUUUAAAUCCUUGUCCAAAACAACCUGUGAUAGAUCACAACUUUGUCUCCUGGUUUAAAAAAUUUUUGUCGGACACGUUGACAGAAAUAAAAACUUCAUCUGCAACGACUCCGGUGACCAUGAGUGAAAAUGUACAGUCAUCAGAUACUGAGUUACCUUCUAUUAGUUCAGAUGACAUGGAUUCUUCCUCAUCUUCAACUUCAAAAAAUAGGAAAGAUGAACUUUUUCUUUUACCUGUAGAGAAAGUCUCAAAGUUGAUAAAGGAGGUUAAAAAAGUCGUUGGUCAAAAAGAUGCAACUGCUUCCACAUCUGGAAUUGGCCAACAACUUCCUUUUUUUGGGGAGAAAAAGUCUGUGGGGUUUCCAGUGCAUGACUCAAUAAAGAAAUUAUUAGAGCAAGAAUGGCAAGGCCCAGGGAAAAAAACAGAUUUUUCCAAGAGAUUUAAGCUCAUGUUUCCGUUUGAUUCUGCGGACAUAGGUACUUGGGAAGAUCCUCCAAAAGUAGAUGUUCCAGUGGCUAGAUUAUCAAAAAAUACUAAGAUUCCGGUCGAGGAGUCAGGGAUGAAAGAUCAGAUGGAUCGAAGGGCUGAAUGCUCCCUUCGUAGAACUUAUGUGACUGGGUCUAACACAUGUAAACCUGCGAUUGCAGCCAUUUCGGUUUCAAGAUCGUUUUGGCUUUUCAAGAAAAUUUUGGCUUAAUUCUCUUGAGGAGGAAAUAGAUGCAGGAACAUCAAGGGAUGAUAUUGAUAUGCUGUAUCCCAUUAAGAUGGCAUCGGAUUUCUUGUGUGAUGUGGCUGUUGAUGUGUUGAAACUGGGAGCAAGAACCAUGGCACUCUCUACUGCUGGAAGAAGGGCCUUAUGGCUAAAAGCAUGGGCUGCAGAUACAGCUUCAAAGAAUAGCCUUAUUGCCAUGCCCUUUGAACCUGGUCGACUUUUUGGCAGCCAUUUGGAUAAAUUGCUGGAAAAUUUGGAAUCAGGAAAAGGGAAAAUUCUGCCACAGGAUAGACCCAAAAGUCAGAGAAAACAUUUUUUUCGUGCCUCAUCAAAAAAGUCUCCACCCAGAUCAUCCUAUUUCAAAAGAUCUUUCAGAUAUAAUGACAGACGAAGAGACAGUGGAUUCAGAAAUAAGCCUUUCAGACCCCGUAAUGAGUCAAAAGACUCGUUCCAAAAGAAAGAUAACACCCAGAACAAAGGUUCAAAUUUCUGACGCCAGAAGUCAAGAAGAAGUGGGCGGGAGAAUCGCUUAUUUUCUUCCUGUUUGGGAAAACACCACAUCGGAUUCAUGGGUCCUUUCGAUAGUAAGAGAAGGUUACUAUAUAGCCUUCCAUACUCUACCAAAACAAAGGUUUUGUAUAACUCACAAAAAAAGGGACAUUAUACAACAAGAAGCCCUAGAAAAGGCCAUAUCGGAUUUCAUAGAUAUGAAAGUCUUGGAGCCAGUUCCACCAUCAGAAAUUCGAGAAGGAAUUUACUCACACGUUUUUCUGGUUCCAAAACCAGGAGGAAAAUUCAGGCUUGUGGUAGACUUAAAAUACCUCAAUCAGUAUGUGAAGAAAGAAAAAUUCAGGAUGGAGACAAUUCGGUCAACAAUCAGUAUUCUUCAAGAAAAAUAUGUCAUGAUCUCAAUAGAUCUAAAAGAUGCUUAUCUCCAUAUUCCUGUCCACCCAUCCAGCAGAAGAUUUCUUCGAAUUGCAGUUUAUCAGGGAUCAAACCUAUAUCACUUUCAAUUCAAAGUUCUUCCAUUUGGGAUCACCUCAGCUCCGAGGGUCUUCACAAAAGUGGUGAUAGUGUUGGCAGCAGCACUCAGAAAACAGGGCAUAUACCUAGUUCCUUAUCUAGACGAUUGGCUUGUAAAAGCAGCUUCCAGAGAAGAUCUUAUUCUUCAUCGGGAUCUGACAUUGAAAUUUCUAAAAGACCAUGGUUGGAUUAUAAACGAAGAAAAAUCAAAUUUGCAACCAACCACCUCAACAAGAUUCUUGGGUCUGGUGUUGGACACUGACACUGGUGUUGGUCGAUAUCUUCAUUGGACAAAACAUUCAAAGUUUUGGUCAACUUGAAGAGGAAACUGAGUUGGUGGUGCAACACCAAGAUGCUAUCCAAGGGGAAGUCGUUCGGAAAUCCAACGUUCAUUUCACUAACAACGGAUGCAUCUGCCUUGGGAUGGGGAGCUCAUGUAGCAGACAAAAUUGUACAAGAGAAAUGGUCCCUGUGGGAGAGAACUCAUUCAUCCAAUUUCAAAGAGUUGAAGGCUGUCAGACUUGCACUGAUGAGAUUCAAAAUUCAACUCAGGAACCAACAUGUUUUGGUCCAUUCGGACAACAGAGUGGUGGUUUCAUACCUCAACAGACAGGGGGGUACCAGAAUUCCACUGUUAAUGAGGGAGUGCCAGAGAAUUAUGAACUGGGCAGAGUGGAAUCUUCUCUCCAUCAAAGCAGUACACAUAAAAGGUGUAGACAAUGUGUUGGCAGACUCUCUAAGCAGAAGAUCCAUGAGUCAGGGGGAUUGGGAACUCAACGACCAGGUUUUUCAUCAGAUAGUGAAGAAAUGGGGGUGGCCUCAGAUAGAUCUGAUGGCGUCGGCAAAGAACAGGAAACUCCCUCUAUUUUGUUCAUUGAAAAGGUCGGACAACCCGACGUUUGUGGAUGCAAUGUCAAUUCAAUGGACAUUCGACCUGGCAUACAUAUUUCCCCCGUUACCCAUGAUUCAGAGAGUAUUACAGAAAGUCAGACAAGACCAGGCAUCGGUAAUCCUGAUAGCUCCAUUCUGGCCCAGGAGAGUUUGGUUUUCGGAUCUGUUGUACCUUUCCAAAGGGGAAUAUUGGAGGAUUCCAUCGAAGGAAGAUCUUCUGUUCCAGACACGGAUAAAACAUCCGGAUCCAUCCAGAUGGAAUGUAACAGCAUGGAGGUUGAGAGGGAAUUAUUGACAGAUCAAGGUCUUUCGGCUGAAGUUAUAGAUACUUUGAUUCUUUCCUGAAAACCAUCCACAACUCAGGUGUACAGAAGGGUCUGGAGAGUUUUUUCCUUGUGGUGUUCUAUGAAAAAAAUCCCACCUAAGAAUUGUUAUACUUCAGCAAUUCUUCAAUUUUUACAAGAUGGUUUUUCAAAAGGGUUAAAACCAAAUACUUUAAAAGUUCAAGUAUCCGCGCUGUCUUAUUUUCUAUCAAAAAAUUUGACUCUAGAACCUUUGAUCAAGAGAUUUUUGAAAGCAGUCUCGAAAAUUAGACCAAGAAUCCGCUCAACGAUUCCUCCAUGGGAUUUAAACUUGGUUUUAUCCUGUUUGGCUGAAGCUCCAUUUGAACCUUUACAGACUAUUACUCUAAAACACUUAUCUUGGAAAACUGCUUUUCUCAUAGCAAUUGCAUCUGCAAGGAGGAUUAGUGAAUUACAAGCUUUGGCGGCAGUCCCCCCUUACACUGUUUUCUUCCAAGAUAAAGUAAUAUUGAAAACUUUACCUUUUUUCACUCCAAAAGUGCCUUCCAUUUCAAAUAUAAAUGCUCAAAUAAUUUUACCUGCAUUCUGUCAACAACCGGAGAAUUCUACCCAGGAAAAAUUGUGUACUUUAGAUGUGCACAGAUGUCUAUCUGAGUACAUAGACAAGACAAAGCAAUUCAGAUCCACAGAUCAUCUGUUUGUGUUAUUUGUUCGUAAGAGAAAAGGAGAAAAGGCUGCUAAAUCUACCAUUGCCUCAUGGGUAAAGAAUACAAUAUCUUCCUAUAAGGAAGCAGGAAAAGAACCUCCUUCACAAUUAAGGGCUCAUUCUACCAGAGCUGUCUCUACAUCAUGGGCAGAGAAAUCAUCUGUCAAUAUCGAGGAAAUUUGUCGAGCAGCCUCCUGGAGCAAUGUUCAUACCUUUAUCAAGCAUUACAGGUUAGACGUUGCAGCCUCACAAGAUACAGCCUUUGGUAGCAGAAUAUUGGAAGCAGCUGUUCAACCAUAGAAACCCUCCCACGAUAGCUUGCUAAGUCUCAAGUGUGCUGCCUGAAGGACGAUAAGAAAACUGAAAAUUUGUCUUACCUGAAAUUUUCCUUUUCUUGAGUCCGUAAGGCAGCACAAUUUAUCCCUCCCUAUUAAACGUUAUUGCAUCAAAUGAUUGUGUGCUUGUUUCCUUUGGGGUAGCUUGAAAAUUAACACUACUGGGAGAUGUGAGGAGGGGGUUAAUAUAGGCUGUUUUAAUUGGUUGUGAUAUAUUUUCUGUCCUACCAGGGGAUUGGAUAUGAUCUAUCUCAAGUGUGCUACCUUACGGACUCAAGAAAAGGAAAAUUUCAGGUGGCAUUGCUGGCGGAAUAGAAAUCUGCAUCACAUUCCCUACAGAAUAUGUCAAGACACAGCUACAGCUUGACGAGAAGGCAAAUCCUCCGCGGUACCGAGGCAU